rnacentral:rRNA from 1 species
UACGUAGGGGGGCAAGCGUUGUCCGGAUUUAUUGGGCGUAAAGAGCGUGUAGGCGGUUCGGUAGGUCCGUUGUGAAAACUCGAGCUCAACCUCGAGACGCCGAUGGAAACCCCCGAACUAGAGUCCGGAAGAGGAGAGUGGAAUUCCUGGUGUAGCGGUGAAAUGCGCAGAUAUCAGGAAGAACACCCGUGGCUAAGGCGGCUCUCUAGUACGGUACUGACGCUGAGACGCGAAAGCGUGGGGAGCGAACAGG